rnacentral:rRNA from 1 species
UACGUAGGGGGCAAGCGUUGUCCGGAUUUAUUGGGCGUAAAGAGCGUGUAGGCGGCCAGGUAGGUCCGUUGUGAAAACUCGAGGCUCAACCUCGAGACGUCGGCGGAAACCCUCUGGCUAGAGUCCGGAAGAGGAGAGUGGAAUUCCUGGUGUAGCGGUGAAAUGCGCAGAUAUCAGGAGGAACACCUAUAGCGAAGGCAGCUUGCUGGGACGUUACUGACGCUAAGGCGCGAAAGCGUGGGGAGCGAACAGG